GACGGAGGGGGCUAGCGUUGUUCGGAAUUACUGGGCGUAAAGCGCACGUAGGCGGCCUUUCAAGUCAGAUGUGAAAGCCCCGGGCUUAACCCGGGAAUUGCAUUUGAUACUGUUAGGCUUGAGACCGGGAGAGGAUAGCGGAAUUCCCAGUGUAGAGGUGAAAUUCGUAGAUAUUGGGAAGAACACCAGUGGCGAAGGCGGCUAUCUGGACCGGUACUGACGCUGAGGUGCGAAAGCGUGGGGAGCAAACAGG
rnacentral:rRNA from 1 species